AAAACACAGCCAGCACUUUUAGCUAUGACUACGUGGCAGAAGAACAGUUACAGUUCCUCGUCAAGAUCUACACUAAAGUGUCAACGAACUUUCACACCAUGUAAUCUGUAUCAAGAACACCAAGUGUAAAAUGAUUGCAGGCUGCGCAGCAAGUCUCUGAGGAACAUACAAAAAGGAACCCAGUGAGUUCUUGCCAGAACUCCAAAAAUUGUUCCUCUUUAACCGGUCAUAAUGAAAAAGCUUUGAGGAAGUGGGAUCCAAGCUGUCAGCGGUCCCUAGCGAGCCUCGAGUUUCCAACAGCUCGACUAAUUUUCCCUGUCUGCUGGGGGUGCGUCUCAGUCAAGGGACUGAAGCUGAAAGCAUUUUGAGCUUCGCAGGCUAACAGUGUGAAGAUCCAGCUGAGUGAGGUGGAAGCCUGACGCUCCUCUGAGGUUUCUGCACUAUUAUGAAGGGAUAAACAACGAUCUAUUACACAACAAACAAGAACCCGUGGGCUCCUGCUUUGUGAUCAUUCAUCAUAAAGCUCCGCAUAAGUCAAAAAAACCCUUUUUGACGUUCUACCUACAUGUCCUUUGAUUUGCAUCCAAAGGUUUGAGAACGUUCUCAGCAACAGAGCUUUCUCAAGAAUGACGGAUGCUGAUCCAGAGACCAAUCAUAAAUCAAGGAACAUCUUGCGUGAACUUUACUCGUGAGUAUGUCUCAUCAGAAAGAUCUCCCGUCAGUUUGGAACAUGCAAAUGACCAUCUGUCUCAUCAGUCACAGCCACAUCUUCAAAUUAUACACAGAUAAUUGCUGUUUCUAGAAAGUUCUGAACCCUCCCACAAACACACAACUCCAAACCCACGCAUUGGAUGACUUGUGUAAUCAACCGACUGCUUGUCGUCCUGCUGUUCAGAGAGGGUAAAACAAAUGGAAACGAACAAUUGCCAACUUGACAUUAACCAAUCACAGAUUUCAGUUUAUUUAACCGUUUUUAAUCAAUUUGUGGAAAUAAAGCUUAAGUUUGAGCUUGUAAAGAUGAACGCA